CUGGGGGCCGGAGAGAUAGCAUGGAGGUAAGGCGUUUGCCUUUCAUGCAGGAGGUCAUCGGUUCGAAUCCCGGCACCCAUAUGGUCCCCCGCGCCUGCCAGGAGUGAUUUCUGAGCAUAGAGCCAGGAGUAAUCC